rnacentral:rRNA from 1 species
GCAGUUGAGCGCUGAAGGUUGGUACUUGUACCGACUGGAUGAGCAGCGAACGGGUGAGUAACGCGUGGGGAAUCUGCCUUUGAGCGGGGGACAACAUUUGGAAACGAAUGCUAAUACCGCAUAAAAACUUUAAACACAAGUUUUAAGUUUGAAAGAUGCAAUUGCAUCACUCAAAGAUGAUCCCGCGUUGUAUUAGCUAGUUGGUGAGGUAAAGGCUCACCAAGGCGAUGAUACAUAGCCGACCUGAGAGGGUGAUCGGCCACAUUGGGACUGAGACACGGCCCAAACUCCUACGGGAGGCAGCAGUAGGGAAUCUUCGGCAAUGGACGAAAGUCUGACCGAGCAACGCCGCGUGAGUGAAGAAGGUUUUCGGAUCGUAAAACUCUGUUGGUAGAGAAGAACGUUGGUGAGAGUGGAAAGCUCAUCAAGUGACGGUAACUACCCAGAAAGGGACGGCUAACUACGUGCCAGCAGCCGCGGUA